UGCAGUCUGCAACUCGACUGCAUGAAGCUGGAAUCGCUAGUAAUCGCGAAUCAGAAUGUCGCGGUGAAUACGUUCCCGGGCCUUGUACACACCGCCCGUCACACCAUGGGAGUUGGAAGCACCCGAAGUCGGUGACCUGACCGUAAGGAGGGAGCCGCCGAAGGUGAAGCCAGCGACUGGGGUGAAGUCGUAACAAGGUACC
rnacentral:rRNA from 1 species